rnacentral:rRNA from 1 species
AGAACGAACGCUGGCGGCAGGCUUAACACAUGCAAGUCGAACGCGUGUAGCAAUACACGAGUGGCGCACGGGUGAGUAACGCGUGGAUAUCUGCCUUUUGGUUCGGAAUAACCCCGGGAAACUGGGGCUAAUACCGGAUAGUUCCUACGGGAUAAAGAUUUAUCGCCAAAAGAUGAGUCCGCGUACGAUUAGCUAGUUGGUGAGGUAAUGGCUCACCAAGGCGACGAUCGUUAGCUGGUCUGAGAGGACGAUCAGCCACACUGGGACUGAGACACGGCCCAGACUCCUACGGGAGGCAGCAGUGGGGAAUAUUGGACAAUGGGGGCAACCCUGAUCCAGCCAUGCCGCGUGAGUGAUGAAGGCCUUCGGGUUGUAAAGCUCUUUUGGCGGGGACGAUGAUGACGGUACCCGCAGAAUAAGCCCCGGCUAACUUCGCGCCAGCAGCCGC